UACGAAGGGUGCAAGCGUUACUCGGAAUUACUGGGCGUAAAGCGUGCGUAGGUGGUUCGUUAAGUCUGAUGUGAAAGCCCUGGGCUCAACCUGGGAAUGGCAUUGGAAACUGGCGACCUAGAGUGCGGUAGAGGGUAGUGGAAUUCCCGGUGUAGCAGUGAAAUGCGUAGAGAUCGGGAGGAACAUCCGUGGCGAAAGCGGCGCGCUGGACCACUACUGACGCUGAGGAACGAAAGCUAGGGGAGCAAACAGG
rnacentral:rRNA from 1 species